UACGUAGGGUGCGAGCGUUGUCCGGAUUUAUUGGGCGUAAAGAGCUCGUAGGCGGUUUGUCGCGUCGGCCGUGAAAUCUCCACGCUUAACGUGGAGCGUGCGGUCGAUACGGGCAGACUUGAGUUCGGUAGGGGAGACUGGAAUUCCUGGUGUAGCGGUGAAAUGCGCAGAUAUCAGGAGGAACACCGGUGGCGAAGGCGGGUCUCUGGGCAGUAACUGACGCUGAGGAGCGAAAGCGUGGGGAGCAAACAGG
rnacentral:rRNA from 1 species